rnacentral:rRNA from 1 species
GGACCAAACUCCUACGGGAGGCAGCAGUGAGGAAUAUUGGUCAAUGGGCGUAAGCCUGAACCAGCCAAGUCGCGUGAGGGAUGAAGGUUCUAUGGAUCGUAAACCUCUUUUAUAAGGGAAUAAAGUGUGGGACGUGUCCUGUUUUGUAUGUACCUUAUGAAUAAGGAUCGGCUAACUCCGUGCCAGCAGCCGCGGUAAUACGGAGGAUCCGAGCGUUAUCCGGAUUUAUUGGGUUUAAAGGGUGCGUAGGCGGCCUUUUAAGUCAGCG